rnacentral:rRNA from 1 species
GAGUUUGAUCCUGGCUCAGAUUGAACGCUGGCGGCAGGCCUAACACAUGCAAGUCGAGCGGUAGCAGUCCUUCGGGAGCUGACGAGCGGCGGACGGGUGAGGAAUGCUUGGGAAUCUGCCCGAUAGAGGGGGAUAACUACGGGAAACUGUAGCUAAUACCGCAUGAUCUCUUAGGAGCAAAGCGGGGGACCUUCGGGCCUCGCGCUAUCGGAUGAGCCCAAGUGGGAUUAGCUAGUUGGUAGGGUAAAGGCCUACCAAGGCGACGAUCUCUAACUGGUCUGAGAGGAUGAUCAGUCACACUGGAACUGAGACACGGUCCAGACUCCUACGGGAGGCAGCAGUGGGGAAUAUUGGACAAUGGGGGCAACCCUGAUCCAGCCAUGCCGCGUGGGUGAAGAAGGCCUUCGGGUUGUAAAGCCCUUUUGGCGGGGAGGAAGGGUGUGAGGUGAAUAAUCUCGCACUUUGACGUUACCCGCAGAAUAAGCACCGGCAAACUCCGUGCCAGCAGCCGCGGUAAUACGGAGGGUGCAAGCGUUAAUCGGGAUUACUGGGCGUAAAGCGCAUGCAGGCGGUCUGUUAAGUCAGAUGUGAAAUCCCCGGGCUUAACCUGGGAACUGCAUUUGAAACUGGCAGACUGGAGUCCUGGAGAGGGGGGUAGAAUUUCCGGUGUAGCGGUGAAAUGCGUAGAUAUCGGAAGGAAUACCAGUGGCGAAGGCGGCCCCCUGGCCAGAGACUGUCGCUCAGAUGCGAAAGCGUGGGGAGCAAACAGGAUUGGAUACCCUGGUAGUCCACGCUGUAAACGAUGUCAACUAGCUGCUUGUGUCUUCGUGACGUGGGUAGCGCAGCUAACGCACUAAGUUGACCGCCUGGGGAGUACGGCCGCAAGGUUAAAAUUCAAAUGAAUUGACGGGGGCCCGCACAAGCGGUGGAGCAUGUGGUUUAAUUCGACGCAACGCGAAGAACCUUACCAGGUCUUGACAUCCAGUGAACUUUCCAGAGAUGGAUUGGUGCCUUCGGGAACACUGAGACAGGUGCUGCAUGGCUGUCGUCAGCUCGUGUUGUGAAAUGUUGGGUUAAGUCCCGCAACGAGCACAACCCUUGUUUCCAGUUACUAACGCGUAGAGGCGAGGACUCUGGAGAGACCGCCGGGGACAACUCGGAGGAAGGUGGGGACGACGUCAAAUCAUCAUGCCCCUUAUGACCUGGGCUACACACGUGCUACAAUGGCCACUACAAAGAGAUACGAAGCCGUAAGGCGGAGUGAAUCUGAUAAAAGUGGUCCCAGUUCAGAUUGUGGGCUGCAACCCGCCCACAUGAAGUCGGAGUUGCUAGUAAUCGCGGAUCAGCAUGCCGCGGUGAAUACGUUCCCGGGCCUUGUACACACCGCCCGUCGCACCAUGGGAGUUGGGAGCACCCGAAGCGGGUGAGAUAACCGAAAGGGGUCAGCCUUCGAAGGUGAGACCAAUGACUGGGGUGAAGUCGUAACAAGGUAGCCGUAUCGGAAGGUGCGGCUGGAUCACCUCCUU